rnacentral:rRNA from 1 species
AUGAACGCUGGCGGCGUGCCUAAUACAUGCAAGUCGCGCGAACAAACGAGGAGCUUGCUCCUCUGACGUUAGCGGCGGACGGGUGAGUAACACGUGGAUAACCUACCUAUAAGACUGGGAUAACUUCGGGAAACCGGAGCUAAUACCGGAUAAUAUAUUGAACCGCAUGGUUCAAUAGUGAAAGACGGUUUUGCUGUCACUUAUAGAUGGAUCCGCGCCGCAUUAGCUAGUUGGUAAGGUAACGGCUUACCAAGGCAACGAUGCGUAGCCGACCUGAGAGGGUGAUCGGCCACACUGGAACUGAGACACGGUCCAGACUCCUACGGGAGGCAGCAGUAGGGAAUCUUCCGCAAUGGGCGAAAGCUUGACGGAGCAACGCCGCGUGAGUGAUGAAGGUCUUCGGAUCGUAAAACUCUGUUAUUAGGGAAGAACAAAUGUGUAAGUAACUAUGCACGUCUUGACGGUACCUAAUCAGAAAGCCACGGCUAACUACGUG